UCCGGUGAUCUGAGAACAACAUCGAGGAAGGUGGCUGUGGAGGGGAGGCAAAAAGGAAUCAUGACAUUAAUUCGAGUUGUAGUCUUAACACUUACUGUCAUAUCCGGAGCACAUGUUGCCACUGCUGGGUGUGUUGGAGGAUGGAAGGUCAUGAAAAACCACCAAUACUUCGGUGCCCGCAAGGUCUCCAGCGGAGGAACACCCGAGGCCUGUCGGAAGACUUGUCUUGGGCAGCCGAAGACAGGACCAAAAAGAUGUGUCGCUAUCGACUGGAAUAAGAAGGAUAAAAGCUGUUGGAUUUUUGACCAUAUCGCGAGAAGUCAGGCCAAUACUCCUAUUGUUGACACUCAUGUUAU